AGGUCUUGACAUCCUCUGACAACCCUAGAGAUAGGGCUUUCCCUUCGGGGACAGAGUGACAGGUGGUGCAUGGUUGUCGUCAGCUCGUGUCGUGAGAUGUUGGGUUAAGUCCCGCAACGAGCGCAACCCUUGAUCUUAGUUGCCAGCAUUUAGUUGGGCACUCUAAGGUGACUGCCGGUGACAAACCGGAGGAAGGUGGGGAUGACGUCAAAUCAUCAUGCCCCUUAUGACCUGGGCUACACACGUGCUACAAUGGACAGAACAAAGGGCUGCGAGACCGCAAGGUUUAGCCAAUCCCAUAAAUCUGUUCUCAGUUCGGAUCGCAGUCUGCAACUCGACUGCGUGAAGCUGGAAUCGCUAGUAAUCGCGGAUCAGCAUGCCGCGGUGAAUACGUUCCCGGGCC
rnacentral:rRNA from 1 species